CCUGAGUUCUUCUGGAGAGUGGCAGGUGGCAUUUCCUGCAGGUGAGUGUUGCCCAAAUGAAGCAGCUGCUGAAACUGGGGUUGGUUUUGUGGCCCAGAGCUGCACAGAGGCCUCAGUGCCUCCCUCUCAGUGCCAGCAAUGCUCCUUGAUGUUUCUGUGUGUCCCAGCUGCGAGGGGCAGGACGAGGCCAGGAGUCCCCGAAAGGCAUCCAGCACCUCUUGUCCUUGGGCCCUCGGGGCAGGGGCUGUGCCUGCAGCGUCCUGCCCGUGCCGAGCACACGGCCCGGGAUGGGCGCUGGGUGCCCGGCCGGCGCUGGCACGGACACGGCUCAAGGGCUGCCCGUGGCUCCCGGGCCAGGGGCUGCUCUGAGCAGGCUCCUGGAGAUGCUUCAGCCUGGAUACAGGCCACUGACAGCCCAAAAGCAGCCCAAGGAGCAGCUGGCGUGUCCUGGUGAUGGCGGCACGGGCUGCGUGCAGAGGGGCUCAGACAGCAAUUCCUGGUUCCAGCCUCCCAGAGCUCCCAGGCAGCUGCCAGCUAUUAAAUGCCAACUGACAGCCUGCAGAGAUGCCUUCAAAUCAAAGGUUCAGGUGGGAUGAAGUUUUGUUUGGACGAAGGUGGGAGUUUCCAGGGAGCCAGCUGGAAGUGCAGAAGGGAUGGAAAGCUUUCCCAGGUACUUCCCAGUGGCACUGCUCAGACACCAGAGCUCCAACUGCAGCAGGUGAGUCCUGGAGUGCUGGAUCAGCAUGGCCACAAUGGCCAGGGAGGUGAGUGAGCACUGGGCAAGGCAGUGAGCCUGCACCUCAACACCA